rnacentral:lncRNA from 1 species
AUGAGAGAAGAAGGCCCAUCUGUUGCUGUCAUACUGCCAGAGAUUUUCCUUUUGUAUGUGACUGUCAUCACCUUCCUAGUGGCCUCUACCGUGACAUUCCAGCCUACAAAGCUCGUCCAGCUUAAAAGCACAGCAGCACAGCGCACGAUGGGCUACGCUGCUCCAGGAGGGGUGCUCUUGGUGGUGCUGACGAGCAGCUUCCACAUGAAGAACAUCCACCAACGCCAUGAAGAAGGCUGUGCAGCAUUCAUGGAUGUCACCACCCUUGUGGUCAGCACAGCAGCAGUGUUGGCCCUGCCAAUCCUUGCCAUCUUCCUCUGUUAUCACACCACACAGGGGUGGCUGCAGGAACACAACUCCAGUUGUGCAGACAAGGAAAGGUCCUUUGAGAUGUCCCUGCCCAUCAGCAAGGAUCCUGAUUUAAUCUCCUAGGCAUUGGCGAUAUUUCCUGUUCCUGUGUGGCUGGCUUAACAUGUUAAUAGAUCUGGGUUUCGUAGGUUUGAGCCUGUGAUAUCUUGGUGGUAAACAGCAAUGAAACGAAUCAUUUCAGUCUUUCCUUUCAACACAGCUCUUGGGAUUUCUAAUGCACAUUCUUUUCUGCUUUAAAACCAGAUUCGGAGUUAGAGAAAUGCCCUUCGAACUAGUUACAAGCACAUCUCUCACUAGUUUAUGGCAUUAAUUUGGCUGUGUAUGUUUCUGAGUGUGUGUGUAGGUAACCAACCAUGGCCACUCCAGCCUUUUCCUGCUGCCACACAGGGCAAGAAGCUUGACUGCUUCUUCUCCACAUGCAGGUGACUUCAAGGUGAUUUACAAGGCAGGUUCAGGCUCUUUUCCCCCUUAUCCACAGCUCUGUGUGCUCCCUGCACGCCUCCUGAAGACCUGUGCAAAUGAGAGGGCACACCUAAGGACUGCUGUUCUCACCUGGCAGCAUCUAUGCCUGCAGAUAAUUUCUUGUGCUUUAACUGUAUUUGCUGAAAUGCAAAUUACUCUGUAUAAGCACUUUGCCUGUCACAGACUGACAAUGGCUCUUCUGAUCCUUGCUGGCUUUUUCUGCACAGGAAGGAAAAUAUGUGGUGUUUUGGAGAGUGGUGUGUAGGCCAAAUAUGAGCGUUGUUUGCGUAGAGGAUUUCCUGCUCACACUGCAGCAUGGGGAAGUGGAGGUCUGGCUCCAGGUAGCCAACAGCAAUUUGAAGUGUGAUAUUCAGCUUUUUGCCAGCACUCGAGAGCAUUCUCUGCUGGACCAGACCGCGUCUGUUUUAGUAGUGAGGGUUAAGAAUUCGUUCCUUUCUAUAGCUUUUAAAAUUCUCUCCUUCAGUUCACCCCAAGCAGCAGUAGCUGAGCGCUCGAGGUUCUGCAUGAGGGUUCCUCGCAGCUGGUCCGAGGGGAAGCAAACACAAACCCUCCCUUUGCAAGGGAAUGAUCUCGCUGCAACAGUAAACUGAUGGAUCUGGUUACAGGUGGCAGUACCCCCUCUCAGGGGCAUAGGUUGUGUUUGUCUAUCUGCCUGCCACCUGCCACACUUUCCUGCUGCCCUGAUACAUGAAAUUAUGUAUCAACAUUCUGUCUUUGCAUAGUUUUGUUAGCUGUCUUGGUUUCUCUCUAAUACCGUUAAGCUUUUAAAAGUGAUUUAAUCUAGCAAGCCAGGGCCGGCUGUGGGAUGCAAUGAUCAGACCAUGGAAGGAGAUGCUGGUCUCAGCACAGAGUGCCCCAGUAUAGGGCUGUCCUUCCCCAGGGGCAGCAGUUUGUAUUUCCCUUUGCUCUCAAGCCCACUUAGCUCCCCCUAGAUGCCAGCAUCACCACUGGUGCCACUUAUCCCAGCUUGGUGGCACUGCUGAAGAUGCUGAGCCCUGGGACACGCUGCCAGCAGGGUGCUGUGCUGCUGCCUGUGACUAAGCUGUUGUGCUGGUUAUCAGCCCUCUGCCUGCCCAAUGCAGCGUUGACAAGUAGAAGGACAGAGAAGGAAGCGGGGCAUAGCAGCUUUCAGGGCCUCUAGCAGGCAGAUAAUACUGGUGCAUUGGGUUUACAUGGCAGGGUUUUGGCAGGGGGGCUGCAUGGGUGUGAGCAGAGCCCUGGAGCUGUCCCGUGGUUUACAAGUGGGACCCAGAAAGGAUUGCCAGCAUUGAGUUGACAUUACAGUAACAAUAUUAUGUUACAAGCACAGCUGCUGAACUGUUGUGUAAUAUACGCAGUGCUUGUCAGCAACACCAUAGAAGCCUUUAUAUGUUAUGGAUGAUAUUUGUGAGGUAGCACUGUGGAUGGGGAGGCAUGUUGUGAGAUUGCUGUGCUUUAACAUGAUACAAGUUAUGACAAUGUAGUUAAGCUUGCUAAUGUUUGUUAGCGGAUACCCCUGCCCUGAAAUUUGUUUAGAUAACAGAAAGAGCUGUGUCUCUGAACCAAGGAGAUAAAGAAGUUCUGCUGAGUCUCAGUACCAAGGAAACAGGAGGUGCUGUUUGGAAUGGGUCACUGAAUAUGUAACGUAGUCCUGCAAAAACUUCUGCUUAGACAACACAAGUUACGUAUACAAAUAGAUGAUCUUUUGUGUAAGGUAUGUGUGAUGGGAGGAUUAUCCCUGUGCAUCCAGUGCUGCCCACGAGAAUACCUGCUUUAUGGAAAUAAAACUUUUGCUGUUAAGUCUCUCUGCGUCCGU